CGAGCUCUCUUCUCUUUGCCUACUGCCAUCCAUUUAAGACAUGACUUGCUCCUCCUUCCCUUCCACCACGAUUGUGAGGCUUCCCCAGCCAUGUGGAACUGAAACAGGCUGAUAAAACUAUUCAGCUGGAAAACACAUGCUAACAUUCAUGAAAAAGAAGAAUGUCUCAGAGAAUGGAAAGAAGAGCCCAGAGGGCAGAGCUUAGAACCACAGAGAAUCAUUCCCAGGCCUUCAAGCCUAAUCAACAAAUUUCUGACAUUUACCCAUUGGGAUUUCAGAACUGCUACUGACUGAAACAAGCUUUUUUUAAUCCUACAACUGCAAGGAGAUAAAUUCUGCCAACAACCUGUGAAAGCUAAGAAUCAGUUGCUUUCCAGUCAAUCAGAUGCUUCCCAGUCAAUCAGAUGCUUCCCGGAUGAGAAUCAAGUCCCAGCAGACAGCUUGAGUGCAGCCUUGAAGAAGACCCAGCCACAUUGAGCCUAGACUAGCUAUCCACAGAAACUGUGAUAAAUGUGUAGCUUUAAUCCACUAAGUUUGCGGAUUUUGUAUGCAGCACAAAAAAAAUAAUACAUGACUUAUUAUGUAUUUUGUUUGCUUUUGGUUUUUUAUUCUAAUUUCAGAUUCAAAGGGUACAUGUGCAGGUUUGUUACAUGGGUAUAUUACAUAAUGAUGAGGUUUGGGCUUCUAGUUAACCCAUCACUAAAAUAGUGAACAUUGUACCCAACAGGUUACUUUUCAGUCCUCACCCAUCUCUCACAUCCUCCCUUUUUUUCAAUCCUCAGUGUCUGUGUUAUUCAUCUUUAUGUUCAUGUGUACCCAUUCUUUGGCUCCCACUUAUAAAUGAGAACAUGCAGUAUUUGAUUUUCUGUUUCUGAGUUAUUUCACUCGGGAUGAUGGCCUCCACUUCCAUCUAUGUUGCUCGGAAAGACAUGAUUUCAUUCUUUUUCAUGGCCACAUAAUAUUUCAUGGUGUGUGUGUACACACACACACACACACACACACAUAACUUUUUAUCCAAUAAUUCAUUGAUGAACACUUAGGUUGAUUUCAUGACUUUGCUAAUGUGAAUAGUGCUGCAAUAAACAUAUGAGUGCAGAUGUCUUUGUUACAUAAUUUUUUUUCCUUUCAGUAGGUACCAAGUAGUAGGAUUGCUUGGGUGAACAAUAGGUCUACUUUAG
rnacentral:lncRNA from 1 species